GGAUGUAACAGAAGCUAUUCAGAAGGUUGCUGCUGCCUAUGACUGCAAGAUUGUUGAGGGUGUAUUGAGCCAUCAAAUGAAGCAGUUUGUUAUUGAUGGAAACAAAGUUGUAUUGAGCGUGUCCAAUCCUGAUACAAGAGUAGAUGAAGCAGAAUUUGAAGAGAAUGAGGUCUACUCCAUUGAUAUCGUGACGAGCACUGGUGAUGGAAAGCCCAAGUUGUUGGAUGAGAAACAAACA
rnacentral:misc_RNA from 1 species